GACGAACGCUGGCGGCGUGCCUAAUACAUGCAAGUAGAACGCUGAAGCUUGGUGCUUGCACCGAGCGGAUGAGUUGCGAACGGGUGAGUAACGCGUAGGUAACCUGCCUGGUAGCGGGGGAUAACUAUUGGAAACGAUAGCUAAUACCGCAUAACAGUAGAUAUCGCAUGAUAGCUACUUGAAAGGUGCAAAUGCACCACUACCAGAUGGACCUGCGUUGUAUUAGCUAGUUGGUGAGGUAACGGCUCACCAAGGCAACGAUACAUAGCCGACCUGAGAGGGUGAUCGGCCACACUGGGACUGGGACACGGCCCAGACUCCUACGGGAGGCAGCAGUAGGGAAUCUUCGGCAAUGGACGGAAGUCUGACCGAGCAACGCCGCGUGAGUGAAGAAGGUUUUCGGAUCGUAAAGCUCUGUUGUAAGAGAAGAACGAGUGUGAGAGUGGAAAGUUCACACUGUGACGGUAUCUUACCAGAAAGGGACGGCUAACUACGUG
rnacentral:rRNA from 1 species